UCCUACGGGAGGCAGCAGUGGGGAAUAUUGCACAAUGGGGGAAACCCUGAUGCAGCCAUGCCGCGUGUGUGAAGAAGGCCUUCGGGUUGUAAAGCACUUUCAGUUGUGAGGAAAAGUUAGUAGUUAAUACCUGCUAGCCGUGACGUUAACAACAGAAGAAGCACCGGCUAACUCCGUGCCAGCAGCCGCGGUAAU
rnacentral:rRNA from 1 species